AGUCGCUGCUUCUUCCACUCAGGACGCUGAAGUGGAGAGUCGCAUGUGAGAUUAGUGGAGAGUUUAAACUCGGUCUUAUUUUUAAAUGUGGACAUAUUUCACCAACAGCAGCGAUAUAACUGUAUGAAGAACAGCAAAGGAUUGUAUUAGUGUGAAUCUGUAGGAGGAGAUAAAGAGAUAAAAAUGGCGGCUGCAAGAAACAAUGAGUUUAAACUCUUUGGACCCCGUGAUGAAGAGCGUCAGUCUCCCUCUGCGGUCACUCUCUCCUGUCACCUGUCUCCUGAAAUCAGUGCUGUUGCCAUGGAGAUCAGGUGGUUUAAGGGGACGGACUGUGUUUGUCUCUAUGAGAACGGG